UACGUAGGGUGCGAGCGUUGUCCGGAAUUAUUGGGCGUAAAGAGCUCGUAGGCGGUGUGUCGCGUCGACUGUGAAAACCCGGGGAUCAACUUCGGGCCUGCAGUCGAUACGGGCGCACUUGAGUUCGGUAGGGGAGACUGGAAUUCCUGGUGUAGCGGUGAAAUGCGCAGAUAUCAGGAGGAACACCGGUGGCGAAGGCGGGUCUCUGGGCCGAUACUGACGCUGAGGAGCGAAAGCGUGGGGAGCGAACAGG
rnacentral:rRNA from 1 species